rnacentral:sRNA from 1 species
GUGUAGCCCUGAUGGAAGUGGUAUCCUCUUGUAGAGUGCAACGGAACAAGAGAUAUAACGGACAGCAGGAGGAAAC